CUCAAGCUUAUAAAACAGGAAAAUCAAUCGAACAUCUUAAAUACUUCAUACACAAACAUCUUAUCAGUAAUAUUUAUGUUCCGUCCACGGAAAAUAUUAUUUCACGCGCGCGCCAAAGCAAACAAAAAUAAAUAGAUUGUAUACAUAUAUCAUAUAUAUACACAAAUGAAUACGACUCGUACCAAAUAAAGAUAUCAUAUCUACGUAUUACUACGCCGCUUAGUGUUUCAUAGGUAGAACUAAAAUUUAAGACGUGCCUUUUACAUUAGAGCAGUGGUAUCCAACAUGCGGCCCUCGUAUCGCAUGUGGCCCAGUAGAGUAAAUAAUGCAGUUCAAUAAAAGUAUCUUGUAGUAAUUUCAAUUGAUGAUUGCCCAAUACGACGAGCAAAACGUAAUUACCUUAUGGACAAAACAUCUUUGGUGGCGGAUUCCACGUGAUGAUAGGAUUGAAGCGGCGAUACAUUAUAAGUGAAAACAUGUCUAAUGUUUUGUUUUGAAGAUAAUAUGGCUAAAAAACGAAAAAAAAAGAAAUUUUUUAUUUAUUAUACAUUUUCUACAUUUUAUUUUUUUUUUUUUUAUAUGUGAUCCAAGAGAAUUUUCCCCUCACUCAAUGCGGCCCAAUCAAUCAAAACGACUGAACACCACUGGAUACCAGAAAUCUGGUGGCAAGUGCAAGCACAAUAUAAAACAGUCGUUACUAGACAUUACUUGGACGAUCUGUAAUGUAACAACUUUAUAAGCAAUAUGAAUCCAACUUAAUACUAUAUGAUAUAAUGGCGAACUAGUUUAUAACCGAUUUAUUUGAUUUUACACAAAAAUAAUAAUCUUGUUGUAAUCUUUUUUUUAAUGAAAAAUUAUUUUCAUUUAUUCAUUGGAGUAUCUCAAAAAGUCAUGAUAUGAUAAAUUUAACAUCUAAAUUUGAAAAAAUGAGGAAACACUUAAAAUUUUUCACAUUUUAUUAAAAAGAAAUUAAUCUCUAUUAUAUUAUUAUCAUUAGUGUGAGAAAGAAUUUUUAGAUUUUCUAAAAUAUAUGAUUAAAGAAUUAAAGAAUACAUCUUAGGUUUAGUGCAAAUAUCUUAACUCAAGGAUAAUAAAGACAUAUCAUUUUUUAUAACAUUGAUCACUAUUUAUAUAUACCCCAGCAUUCAUUAUACAUGUAGAGUAAAAACUGUGGCAGGACUAGUUAGCUAUAAUCUAACACCAUACUCCAAUCUAUAGAAUCUAUUUAAUUUGUAUUGUACCAAGAUUUUGAUUGGGUUUGAUAUGACCUGUAAAGUAUAUACUUUCAGUUUAAUUAGUUCAUUUUUAUUACAAUGCAAAGCACUGUGAUAAUUUUAAAUACUUUACUUGGCACUUGCAAAAUACAAUAAACUAUGUUGUGCGAAGAAAAACAAUAUUCUCUCCCUUGUUUUAUUGAUGUAAUGAAAUACAAUUAUUACUUCUCAAGAUUUUGUUUAUGUCUCGUCUUAUAUAUAUAUAUAUAUAUAUAUAUAUAUAUAUAUAUAUAUAUAUAUUCUUUUUUAAUAUUUUAAUAAUAACUAAUGCUAAUUAAUUAUUUAUAGACAACUAUUUUCAUAUUUAAAUACAAUUGUUUAUUUGUUAAUUAUUAUAUAACUCCUAUGUUCUUAUCUAACAAAUAAGAGUCAAGAGUUGCUAUGUUCACAUGUACCAACAAAGUUCUAUUUUUUAUAGAUCACAAAGCAGCAAAAGGAUAUUAUAAUUAUCAUAUUAUUUGACAAUCUGAGAAAGAUAGUCAACAUUAAGUUAUUAAUGUUACAAUAGUAUAAUAUGUACAGGAACCUAAGAGGUGGGAUGGUAUGGGCGGCUUCACUCAACGGAAUGCAACAUUUCUUUUAAUGUCUGGUAUCUUAUAAGCGAUAUUGACAGAAAUAUUUCUUUGAUAAUAUUUAACAGAAAACUUAUUUCUCAUAGAUACAAAUUAUAAAAUUUCAAUACUUCUAUAUUACGUUGUAAUAGUUCAAAUAACUUAACAUGUACAUGUAUUUUUUUUAAUACAUUUAUAAAAAAUUA